UCGGGAAUAUUGCGCAAUGGGGGAAACCCUGACGCAGCGACGCCGCGUGUGGGAUGAAGGUCUUCGGAUUGUAAACCACUGUCGCGAGGGACGAAGCUCUGACGGUACUUCGAAAGGAAGCACCGGCUAACUCUGUGCCAGCAGCCGCGGUAAUACAGAGGGUGCGAGCGUUGUCCGGAAUCACUGGGCGUAAAGGGCGCGUAGGCGGCCCGGUAAGUAGGGGGUGAAAUCUCAUGGCUCAACUGUGAGGCUGCCUUCUAGACUGCCAGGCUUGAGCACAGUAGAGGCGAGUGGAAUUCCCGGUGUAGCGGUGGAAUGCGUAGAGAUCGGGAAGAACAUCGGUGGCGAAGGCGGCUCGCUGGGCUGUUGCUGACGCUGAGGCGCGAAAGCGUGGGGAGCAAACAGGAUUAGAUACCCCAGUAGUCCCUGAGCGGGCUGGCAAGGCGCAU
rnacentral:rRNA from 1 species